ACAUUGCCAUGGAUAUGGCCAGCCACUGAUUCUGAUGCUGGGAUUUCACUGCCCCCCUCUUCUUUUACAGAACCCAGACCCAGCACCCAACCGCUAGUUAGGCCACAGACUGACCCUACCCCAGUUCUCUGGCCAGCCAGUGAUUUUGUGUCAUGGACAUCACUGCCUACCUUCCUCUCCUGAAGACCACAGUCCUAGUGACCACCUCCUAGGUAGCUUCAGGCCACAGACAGUCCAAGCUGCAGGCCUCUGGUCAGCCAGUCAUUCUGAGGCUGGGACAUCACUGCCCACAUAUCUCUCCUGCCGACCCCAGACCCAGUGCCCACCCGCUAGGUAGCAUGUCGUGUCACCAGCUGGAGUCCACAUACAGCACCAGCGCCAGGUCUCUGGCCAGCUUGUGAUUCUGAGGCAGGGACAUCACUGCCAACCUACCUCUCAAGCAGACCCUUACCCCAGCGCCCACACGCUUGGUAGCUGCAGGCCACAGACUGACCCAGCACCAGCCCUCUGGCCAGUCAGUGAUUCUGAAGCAGGGACCUCACUACCCACCUACCUCUCCAGCAGACCCCAGCCUAGCGUACCCUGCUAGGUAGGUGACAGACAGAUCCAGCGCCAGGCCUCUGGGCACUCAGUGAUACUGAGGCAGGAACAUCACUGCCCACCUACCUCUCCUGCAGACCUUAGCCCCAGCACCCAUCCACUAGGCCUGUCCCCAACUGCAGGCCACAGACAGACCAGAUC